UGUGGCAUACUACGGGAGGCAUCCUUGCUGUGGCAUACUACAAGCAAGCAUACCUUUUGUAGCAUGCUACGGG